AUCACAACUCGUAGUCAAUUCUUUAGCUAGCCCUUUUGGAUAAACUUUCCUAAUUAUCACUCAUGUUAUUAGAGCGAACUCAUGCACGCGAUCAUUUGGGUCACUGUUCUAUGUUGAUUACGAGUUUAUCGGGUAUUCUAGCUGAUUGUGGUGUAAAAGGGGUUGUAAUGAUCCCAACCCACAUCAGAAGUUUAGAUGGGGAUUUUGGGUAUUCAAGUUUCUUACAUAAAAAUUCAAACACUAUUUUUAUCAAAAGUUAUAUUGUAUUAUUUUUCUUAUUACAUUACAAUACUUUGCCCUCAAACUAGUUUUGGCCCGUAAUUGUUUUUCCCAAUAUGCUCCCAUAACUAUUACAUUUUUCCCAGAUUGAUUCAAAUACUUGAUGGAAAGUGGCACCAUUCAGUCCAUACCUAGAUUUAGCAAGACAUGCACAUAAUUCAAAAGAAAAAUUCCUUCACAAUUGGUGUUCCUAAACGCAUUGCCUCACAAAGACACUAUAGGUUUUCCCUCCACCACCAGUCCAACGCUCCCACCGUCCAAGGAAAAGAAAACCUACCACUCGUUUACUCGACUCCCGCUGAUAAUGCUAUCCUCCACCCUCCACCCCACUCCGCCCCUAACAACCAAGCCACUUCCCAUACCCCACAUCACAAGGAAAUCCCUUCCCCCCAAAUAGAGACAACCAAUCUCUUCCACCCCAGGCAACCUACACUUAAAAAGCACGGUGCCCCAUAUUCAAAUGCUUGCAUAGAAACUCGCUGCUAAAAACUAGCUUUUGCCCAAAAGCUUAAAUGCUCUUGGCAAAUACUGACGGGAGUCAAUUUUAGGAUUCAAAUACCACCACGCUUCCUAGCCUGACGUCUAUCACCUCCAAUUAUAUGGACACUAUCUAAUAGUAGCGUUUUCCCUUUCUAGCACCUGCAUUCGCUUAUCAAUCUUCAAAAACUAAGAAUUUUGCACGUAUGCAAUAACAAAAUAUUUUAAUCUAGUCUUUAGGUCACUCCAUUUGCCUUGAACUCAUGGAACAAUGCUUGCUCUAAUACCAAAUGAUACAACCUCUUUGGUAGUGUUGAUGUAUAUCUUUGUAUAUACCCUAGGGGUAGAAUAGUCUUUUUGUCCUUAAUAUUUGUAUAUAUAUUCUUUUAUUCUCUCCCUUUGUAACCUAACUUCUUCAAUAAUACAAAACCUCUUUUUCUCUCUCUCUACUCUAUAUAUAUAUAUAUAUAUAUAUAUAUAUUUAUCUUCAUUACACUAACAUGGUAUCAGAGCCAUGAUUUUUUACAUCUGUUUUUUGAUUUUCAUCUUUCUACCUCUGAUUCUUUAGAUUUUCAUCACCUACUCUAUUUUUUGCCGACGAGAAAUUUACUUGGAUCUGGAAUUUGAACACACCAUUGUGUUCCUCAUGAAAUUUUGAGCUCAGAGAAGUCCAGAACACCGCCGAAAGCCUCCAAUCGCUCCCUCAUGCACCACCUGAGUCACUGCGCGUUAGAUCUACUCAUAUAGAUCCUCUCACGCGCCUACACGUGCGCAAAUCGCGUCCCUGCCACACGAACAUCUGCCGCACGCACCCCUGUACAUCAGAUCUACUCUCAGCGCGUCAACCACACGCGCUUUGUCUAUGACCUCAUCAACGCAUCAGCUAGCUGUCAGUGCGCGUCCGUGACCUCAUCAGCGUGUCAGCCAAUUGCGUCAACCAGUGCGUUAGCGCGCGUCAGUCACGCGUCAGCCAUCCAGGUUCAUGUUUUUGAGUAUUUUAGGCCUUCUAAUUCUGUUUCUGCACUCAGUUUUUGCUAUUUCUACCUUGUUACUACUGUAGUUGCUAUUUUUGCACUAUUUUCUACUAUUUUCCCUACGAUUUAGACUGUUUCUACUUCUAGCUAUUUACUAUGGAUCGAUCUGAGGAUUCUAGACCUAUUGUUAUCACUCUGUAUGGUCCCAAUUAUAUACUAUGGUCUUAGGCGAUGUCCAGUUUUCUCAAGGGAUGAAAACUUUGGCAUUAUGUUACUGGAGAUAUUAAGGUACCAGUUUAGGGUACUACUGAGACACCUAUUGAGUACAUUAUAAGUCUUGAAGAAUGGGAUAGUAAGAAUCAUCAGAUUAUUACGUGGAUCCAUAAUACUUCCAUUCCUUCUAUUAGCCUACAGUUUGGAAGAUUUGAUACUACUCAUGCCCUCUGGGAUUUUCUGGCCACCAAAUAUACUAUUGAUUUGAUCUAGCUUGUUAGUAUCAGCUUCUAACUUCCUUAUGCUGACAGUGACAGGAGCCUGGACAGUCUAUUAGUACCUACUUGCCUCAGAUAUAUUCUAUAUGGGACUAGUUGACUCCAUCCGAGCCUAAGUGGGUCAGUGAUGUUGAUGCUACUUUAUUUGCCACCUAUCGAAAUUAGUAGCACCUUAUUAUGUUUCUCAUGGGGUUUUCUGAUGUAUAUGAGCCGGUCCGGGCCUCUCUCCUUCAUCGCAUUCCUCUCCCUACAUUGGAUUAAGCUAUCUCUGAGUUUUUA
rnacentral:lncRNA from 1 species